CGGUGCUAUACAUGCAGUCGAACGCACUCUCGUUUAGAUUGAAGGAGCUUGCUCCUGAUUGAUAAACAUUUGAGUGAGUGGCGGACGGGUGAGUAACACGUGGGUAACCUGCCCUAAAGUGGGGGAUAACAUUUGGAAACAGAUGCUAAUACCGCAUAAAACCUAACACCGCAUGGUGUAGGGUUGAAAGAUGGUUUCGGCUAUCACUUUAGGAUGGACCCGCGGUGCAUUAGUUAGUUGGUGAGGUAAAGGCUCACCAAGACCGUGAUGCAUAGCCGACCUGAGAGGGUAAUCGGCCACACUGGGACUGAGACACGGCCCAGACUCCUACGGGAGGCAGCAGUAGGGAAUCUUCCACAAUGGACGAAAGUCUGAUGGAGCAACGCCGCGUGAGUGAAGAAGGUUUUCGGAUCGUAAAACUCUGUUGUUGGAGAAGAAUGUAUCUGAUAGUAACUGAUCAGGUAGUGACGGUAUCCAACCAGAAAGCCACGGCUAACUACGUGCCAGCAGCCGCGGUAAUACGUAGGUGGCAAGCGUUGUCCGGAUUUAUUGGGCGUAAAGCGAGCGCAGGCGGUUUCUUAAGUCUGAUGUGAAAGCCUUCGGCUCAACCGAAGAAGUGCAUCGGAAACUGGGAAACUUGAGUGCAGAAGAGGACAGUGGAACUCCAUGUGUAGCGGUGAAAUGCGUAGAUAUAUGGAAGAACACCAGUGGCGAAGGCGGCUGUCUGGUCUGUAACUGACGCUGAGGCUCGAAAGCAUGGGUAGCAAACAGGAUUAGAUACCCUGGUAGUCCAUGCCGUAAACGAUGAGUGCUAGGUGUUGGAGGGUUUCCGCCCUUCAGUGCCGCAGCUAACGCAUUAAGCACUCCGCCUGGGGAGUACGACCGCAAGGUU
rnacentral:rRNA from 2 species